rnacentral:rRNA from 1 species
AACGAACGCUGGCGGCAUGCCUAACACGUGCAAGUCGAACGAGACCUUCGGGUCUAGUGGCGCACGGGUGCGUAACGCGUGGGAAUCUGCCUUUAGGUUCGGAAUAACUCAGAGAAAUUUGAGCUAAUACCGGAUGAUGUCUUCGGACCAAAGAUUUAUCGCCUUUAGAUGGGCCCGCGUUGGAUUAGCUAGUUGGUGGGGUAAAGGCCUACCAAGGCGACGAUCCAUAGCUGGUCUGAGAGGAUGAUCAGCCACACUGGGACUGAGACACGGCCCAGACUCCUACGGGAGGCAGCAGUGGGGAAUAUUGGACAAUGGGCGAAAGCCUGAUCCAGCAAUGCCGCGUGAGUGAUGAAGGCCUUAGGGUUGUAAAGCUCUUUUACCCGAGAUGAUAAUGACAGUAGCGGGAGAAUAAGCUCCGGCUAACUCCGUG